AGGGCGGGAUCAGUGAAAACCACGUGAUCAUCCACGAGUGCGGUGCAGAGUCGCUGAGAUAACCGGAACUGCAGAUGCUGGAGAAUCCGAGAUAACACGGUGUGCAGCUGGAUGUGCACAGCAGGUCAAGCAGCAUCAGAGGAGCAGGAAAGCUGACGUUUCGGGCCUAGAUCCUUCGCUGAGACCAAGAUUUGUGCAAUUGAGAUACCAGCGAUCGUUGCCAAAGCCCUGUUCCCUGUGGAGAAGGUGAUGUUUAACUUUCGUGUGCUGCUUCAGUUUGUAUGAUAAAGGAUAUUACAAGUGGACUUUCAGGUAGGAAGCUCAAUAAUUGUAACACCAAACUCUGACAGAAUUACUCAAUUCAAUCAGGACCUGGAUAUUCGCAUUGUGUAUUUCCACAAUUUUACUUCUGCACUGCUCUUACUCUUUCAGAGGGAUUGAAAGGUGGAGUUACAGAUCUAUACAAUGACUGUCCUUCCUCGCUGGCUCUCCCAAUUCUCUCUUUUGGUAGUUUGAUGCAAACACUGACUGGAUCCCUUACCUGGAGGAUAUUUAUGAAUGAAUUUGUUCUAAUGGUGAUCCAGCAUAUUCCCCAAGUGUUGCUGUACACAUGUCCAGAGAAUUUCUCAGUUUCACAAUCUGUGUCCUUCUGGUUUCUUACUUACUUUCUCUUUGAAAGUAUAGUCUGCAGUUGGAGAAUUUAAACAGGCCCACAUCCAGGUCUGACGGUCACUUUGUUUAUCACAACCCAAUUUUCUCAGGAUUUUGAACAUUGAAGGAAAAAGCAGCACUCACAUUGGGGAGAAAUGCACAUGGUGUGUGUGUUGAAGAGUCUGUGAAGAUUCAUCUGAAAUGUCCAAACACCAGUGCAGUGACACUGGGAGACAGUGUGGAAAUGUGCAGAUUGCAGGAAGGAAUUUCUUCAUCCAUCCCAGCUAGAAACUGACCACCAGAGUCACACUGGAGAGAGACCAUUGACCUGUUCUGCGUGAGGGAAAGGCUUUGCUGACUCGAAUUCCCCGCUGAUACACCAGCGAGUUCACUCUGGGGAGAGACCUUUCAUGAGCUCUGUGUGGGAAGGGAUUCAUUGUCAUCCAAACUGUUAACACACCAGCGAGUUCGCAGACAACCACAGUUGAAGAACAUUGCUGUCACUCUCACUAUCAAAUAAACCAUGGUGUUGGGCUGUUUGUACAGAUGUUACCGAUACCUGCUCAAUUAAAGGUGCUGGUAUUGUGAAUAAAAUGUCACACUAACAGUUGUGUAAGGUAGAGCUUGGAAAUAGUCACGUUGUCACAACACAUCGACACAUUCACACUGACUAAAGCCUAUCCACCUGCAUGAUAUGUGAAAAGGGAUUUCCUGGUACAUUCCUGGUUCCUGGUUAACGACCAGCAAAUUUCUGAAUAAGUUGAUUGGUUUGAAUAUAGCUAACAGUAGAAUCAAAAAUAGUAUCAGUGAUAAUGGGAACUGCAGAUGCUGGAGAAUCCAAGAUAACAAAAAGUGUGGAGCUGGAUGAACAUAGCAGGCCAAGCAGCAUCUCAGGAGCACAAAAGCUGACUUUUCGGGCCUAGAGAAGGGUCAAGGCCUGAAACGUCAGCUUUUGUGCUCCUGAGAUGCUGCUUGGCCUGCUGUGUUCAUCCAGCUCCACACUUUGUUAUAGUCGAUUCAAAAACCAUGUGUUUUGGGCUUGUUUCUGGAGAUCAUAGAAUCCCUCCACUGUGGGAGCAGACCACUUAGCCCAUCAAGUCCGCACUGACCUGACGAAGAUUGUCUUACCCAGACACUGUCUGCGUGAGUUUCCUCCAGAUGCUCUGGUUUCCUCCCACAGUCCAAAAAUGUGCAAAUUAUGUAGAUUCACUAUGCUAAAUUGCCCAUAGUAUCUUGUGUGCAAAAUGCAGGGAUAGGGUAGGGUGUGAGACUGGUUGGGAUGCUCUUUGCAGGGUUGAUAUUGACUGAAUGGCCAUCUUCCACACUGUAGGAAUUCUGUGAUGAUCUCGAUGGCCCUUUAUUUGUUAGAUAGGUCUGCACACCUUUACAAUGACAGAUUCUGUUGCUCUCCCACAGACAUUUGUUUAUUGGAAACAAUGUAAUCUUUCAGUUUGUGGAUAAAAAUCAAAGGAAUGUUUUAAAUCCAAACAUAGGAUUGGGUUGAGUCAUGUCCUAUAAUCCCUGAUUUGCAUUUUCCCCGUCGGCUAUGAAACCUGGUGACCGCUGUGACUCUGCCUGGGAGCAUUGCAGUCUCGUCAGCUCUUUACCUGGUGUCCAUAGCAGUGAUGGAUCUCAUGACGGAAACAUAAACCAAAACAUUGUGUGAUUUCUAGUACAUAUUUUCUAUUUAGUCUUCUGUCCAUCACUUCCCUAGAGGCUGAGAUACUGGUCUGGGGACCUAGGUGUGAAUCCAUCUGGAAAUAAGAAUGUGAUGAUGACUGUCAAUCCAUUGCCUUUGUUGGAAAAACCCAUCUGUUCACCGAUGGCCUACAGGGAAGGAAACUGCCAUUCUUAUCCAGUGAUGUGAUCAUCCCAUGAAUGAAUUUUUUAAAAAAAUUAAAAACUCCUGCAAAUACGUUAAA